UACAGAGGGUGCAAGCGUUGUUCGGAAUUAUUGGGCGUAAAGGGAGUGUAGGCGGUUUGGAAAGUCUUCUGUGAAAUCUACGGGCUUAGCCUGUAACGUGCAGAGGAAACUACCGAGCUUGAGUGUCGGAGAGGAUAGGGGAAUUCCCGGUGUAGAGGUGAAAUUCGUAGAGAUCGGGAGGAACACCAGUGGCGAAGGCGCCUAUCUGGCUGACAACUGACGCUGAGACUCGAAAGCAUGGGGAGCAAACAGG
rnacentral:rRNA from 1 species